rnacentral:rRNA from 1 species
UACGUAGGUGGCAAGCGUUAUCCGGAAUUACUGGGUGUAAAGGGUGCGUAGGCGGCUUUGCAAGUCAGAAGUGAAAUCCAUGGGCUUAACCCAUGAACUGCUUUUGAAACUGCAGAGCUUGAGUGGAGUAGAGGUAGGCGGAAUUCCCGGUGUAGCGGUGAAAUGCGUAGAGAUCGGGAGGAACACCAGUGGCGAAGGCGGCCUGCUGGGCUCUAACUGACGCUGAGGCACGAAAGCGUGGGUAGCAAACAGG